UACUUUGUCCAAAAGUUUCCAUCACUUUAGACAGUGCCUGAAUCUGGUGGAUAUCAUUCAUGUUAGCUAUAUGAACUAGCACGCCUUUAAAGGAUCAGUUCUUGAUCUCUUUUGUGCCAAGUUGUAAUAGUGAGAUGAUGGUAUCUCAAUGCAAUCAGUUAUCAAGGCGAUGUGUGUAUGGAAAGAAUAAAAUUGCUUCUUUUAAGAACUUGUCUGGAUUUUUAUGAAAUGAAAGAGAGGUGUCAGGAGGUGCAAAUAUUU
rnacentral:snoRNA from 1 species